AUCCAGAUGACGAGUCCCAAAUAGAACGUAAUGUGCAUCCUGGAU
rfam:Trichobilharzia regenti genome assembly, scaffold: TRE_scaffold0038796